GUGGCUGUGGCUCAGUGGUAGAUCACUUGCCUAGCAGGUGUGAGGCACUGGGUUCAAUUCUCAGCACCACA
rnacentral:tRNA from 1 species